GCCCCGGUAGCUCAAUGGUAGAGCUCCUGCAUAUAGUGAGCGAAAGCGCCUAGCAACAACUAGCAGAUGGUCGCAGGUUCGCAAUUUUCUAGGAAUCCUGCCCGGUGGCU
rnacentral:tRNA from 1 species